ensembl:lncRNA
UCUCCAUUCAAGAUAUGAAUUUCCUCCCUUUAAACUACUCACAUUCAAGUCUCUUCUCCUUUUCACAGGGGAAGGAAUGGAACUCAGCUAUCUGACCUAGAGUAGGCCGACCUAGAAAGGCUGUGCUCUUCUUUCAGAUAUAUUUCCCCUGGAAACAUGGGGUAGGGACGAUGGAAUUCAUGAUACAUUGUCUUUUUUGAUGCCAUUUCUCUAAGGAACUUGGAGCUUGAGUGACAAAAGCGUGGUUUUUGCUGGCUAAAAGUUUAAGAUGCAAAAAAAAAAAAAUAAUAACAAAAGGAUUCCUUAAGCUCUGCUUUUUUUUUUUUUUUUCCAGAGGAUUGGGGCAUAAGAAUUAGAAGAGGGCCAUUCUGUAAACCUGUCAAGAGCCGAUGGCUAAGAAGGUCACAGGUCCUAUGAAACACAUACUUCCGAUGUUUUACUAAGUGGACAUAUCCUCAAAUUGUCUUCUAAAUGUUUUUGUGUUUAUACCCAUCCCCUAAUGCUGCUUUAGCCACAAAGACGCUGCUCCCUCUCCCAGUGGACAAUAGUCAAUGCAGAGACUCAUCUGGUUAAUAAUAACUGUUGAGUGCUCAGCUCUGAAUGGAACUUCCAUAUCAUCCCCUCCAGGGCCCAGAGAAUGUUGCAGAACUUGCCAUGAAAAAUUUGUAACAGCCAGAGGAUGGGGAGGACUGCUAUAAAGUGGUCUUCUGGAUGUGGUGUGACCAUCGUACAUCAUAAGCUUACAGCAGUGUGGCUACCUCCAUGAGAUGUGCAUAAAAAAUCAAAGAUGAGAAAGUAAGGAUGGGACUGGUUGGGAAAAUGAGAGUCAUCUGGAGUGAGAAAGACAAGAGAGGAUAGCGUGUGUGUGUGUUGGGGGAGUGAAUAUGGUCACACUGUAUGAUAUGCAUGCAUACAUUGCUAAAUUCUCAAUUAAAAAAUAAGAGUGUUUGGAGUACAAGGAGGGAUUUCCCAGUUAGAGCUGUUUGCAUACAUGGUGGCCCAGACCGACUGAGAUCUGCAUAGAGACAAGGGUGCAAUAACUGUUUUGGAAACUGUGGUAGGAAGGAGGUAGUGAGUCAGUGCUUACUGCCCCCAGAAAAAGAUAUUGCUCACAGGGAGGCUUUGGACCAAGUCGGUACAUGCAUGCGGGGUGGGGCUGGAAAGAUAGAUUGGCCUAUGGGAACUUAGAAGAAGAAAGCGGGGGAGAAAGAUGUUAGUGGAGGGAAGGUGGGGAAACACAUUGGAGAAACAGUACCGAAAGUGGGUUUCUUGAGGCAGGAAGAGCUGUUGAAAUAGAAGAACUCCUCUGUUGCAUUUAGAGCAAAGGGACAUUUGUGAGCUGUGUGGGAAGCCCAUGUGUGUUCAUCCCCUAUUGUCAUGCUUCCAACUUUCAUUUCUUUUUUUUUUCCUCUCCAAUACAUGUGAAAUGAUUGUGGCUUAGAAUGAUACUGUUUUGGUAACCUUAGGGCUAUACUUAAUGUCUGAGUUUAGGGCUUAACCAAACAUAGCUUACCUGGAAACUGUUCUUUAUUUAUCAGCAUUCAGAAUAGAAGCUGAGUCACAGCAGUGACACUGACACAUCUGGUUUCUGUCUCAUACUUCCUUAUUUCCUGGCUGUUGGUGAUCUUCACUUUUGCUUGUUGGGAACUUGAAAUACACCGUCUCAAUAACCAUUCACCCUGCUUACGAAUGAUGCCCUCAGACAGGGCCUUCACUGCUUCUCCUCCCAGACAGCAAUGGCUUUGUUUUAAUGACUGUUUUUCAACAUUGAACUAUAUAGCAUUUACUCAAUUAACUGUCAGCAAAAUAAUGUCACCUGCUUAAUUUCAAACACUGGUGAGGGUGGGGAGUACCACCAUCUUAGAGGUGAAGCUGGAAAAACGUGGUGAGAUGGAUUCAUACUGUACAAGAUGUGAGGAAUAUCCUUUUUAUCACAAGAAAGACUAUGAGAAUCCACCAAUGGAGGAGUGGCUAUUCACAAAGGAUAUAGAGAGCAGGGCUUUAUCAGCCCAUCUGGGGAGCAGAGGACAUUAAAAUCCCAUCAUUCAUCCUAGAAGUAGGGAAUCUCACCAAAAAUGUGAAAAACCAACCACCUUCUUAUCAGACCUCUUCAACUGAGAUGAUCCCCAAAGGCGGUAGCCAGCUUGCCCUUUACUUCUACUGCAGAAACUCCUGCAGCGUUGUUGACUCCAUCUGAGAGCAUCAAAUCUCAAGAAGGACUGAGCAAGUUCAAGAUAUCUGCCUGGGACCAUGGUUCUUCAGCCAGUGGAAGAAUGCUCAUGAUCAAGACUCCUUCUGUGUAUUCCAGGUCCCUGCUGAACUUCAUAGUCUGGAAGUCUUGGCUGCUCAAAUUUUCUCACAGCCUGUCUUCCUGCAAAACACUCACAGAAAGAACAUAUGGGGCUGGUCUCAAUAUGGAUGCAGCUAAGACAUCAACCAUAGUGGAUCCAGAAUCAUCCCAUCUUUUUGUCCAUGGAUGCCUUGUUAUCAGGUCCAACCUCUUCAUUCUCCAACCCUAUUCCACUGCCAUCUUGUUGAGUGAUCAUGGGCAAAGGUUUAACCUCUCUUGGUUUCGAUGUAGUCACAUGUAAACUAUGUGCUAGAUAGUUUCUGUGUUCCCUCCUGUUCCAGGACUUGGCCCUUUGGAAACAAAGUGCUUUAUCAUUCAGUACACAAGAAGGCACUAACUAGUGCUGUGUCAAGCACUGGCUGCAAGAAACAACAAUUUUUGUUUAUUAAUUGUUAUUUUCUUACUCUUUCUAACAAGCAAUGGUCCUCUCUGACCAUCAGGCUUCUUAGAACCCUUCAGCAGCUUCCCCAUCGUACUUUGUAGAAACAUCAAGACAAAGUGGCAUCCUAUCCUGUGACAUUACCUCACACUUAGUUAAUACACUCCAGAUGCACCAGCUUUCUUUCUGUCUCUCUCUUUCUGGAAUAGGCUGAGCCAUAUCAACUAAAGACUUUUUGCAAGAACUUUUUGUCCUACCAGGAAUGUUCAUCCCCAAGGCAACCUAUGAUUGUCCCUUUCUCAUCAUAUAUGUCCUCAGGGUACCUUGUGAGUUAGUCUCCCCACUUUCAUUUACCUUGUUUUAUUAUGGCUAGUGGAUGAAACCUAUUGUCUAUAGAUUCUUUUGUGCUGCAAGAGCUGGCUGAAUAUUAUGUAUGAGGCAUAGACACAGAGACUGUACCAUCUGCUAGUUGAAAACAUUCAUCAUCUGGUUUAUGUAGGGAAAGAUUUCUAAUCCCUGUAUCCUAUAGUGUCAUUUAUUCACAGUGCAUAUAGUAUUUUAACUGUUAAACCAAACUUCUUCCUAUUUUGUUUGCUUUUAACUUUUUUCCCUAACAAGAAUGUAAAUGCCUUCAAGUUAAGGGACUCAUCUGUCUUGAUCUAGGUGGUUUUAUUAGCCUGACACAAAGCCAAUAAAUAAUGGUAGAACAGAUGGACCAGGUCUAUUUCCUUUUGCUCAACAGAAGCAACAAAAAGUUUAAUAUUCAUCAUAAAAUAAAACUCUCCACCUCCUGGCCUUUACAACAGUCCCAUGAUCCACUGCCAAGCUCUUCUCUACCCCUGCCUCUAAUUCUCAUUAUGUUAAUUUUUUUUUUUUUUUGCUUUGUGCUGACACUCCUAACUGCCAGUAACUUCUUUCCUCUCUCUCUGACAACUCUCUGGCCCAGUUCUUGGCCCUCAGUGAAACUUGCAGCCCUCCAGGCAGAAAUUGAUUGCUAGGAUGCCAAUUCAGGCCAGUACUGCCUCCCUUUUAGAUAUUUAUGGGCAGGGCUCUGAAUUGUGAGGGACUCAUGAACUCAGACACAUUUUUAAGAGAACUUUAUAGUUAAACCUCUGUUUGGCUAAGGGCUUAUUUUUAAAAAUAAUAAAUCUAGGUUCUUAGAGAAUAGAACUCAAGGGGCAGAAGUUUGAAUCUAUAAAGUUCACAUAUCAGUCAUGGAGGAGCCCUUGCAGCCAUCUAGUGUUUCUCAAACUUCUCUAUCUCAGUCCACCUAAUGGUAGAUCUGAAUAUCAUAUCUCCCCACAUGGAAAAAGAGUCAGUGCUUACACUAAAUCUCCAUAAUGUUUUUCACUGCGAUAAUUCAUUAUAACAUUGUGCUGGUUGGUUUUUGUCAACUGGACAUAAACCUAGAUAUACCAGAGGAGAGAGAAUAUAAACUGAAAAAAUUGCAUAUCUCAGAUUUACCCAGGGGUUAUCUGUAGGGUAUUGUGGACUGUGGGGGUAUAGUCUUUAUUAAUGACAGAUGUGAGAGGGCCCAGCUCACUGUGGGCAGUGCCAUCCCUGGGCAAGAAGUCAUGGCUUCUAUAAAGCAGCAGUCUGAGCAAGCCAUGAGGAGCAAUUCAGUAAGCAGCACCCCUCUAUGUCCUCUCCUUCAGUUUCUACCCUUUAUGAUGGACUACAAACUGUAAGCCAAAAUAAACCCUUUCCUUCCAC